UUUGUAGUUUGUAGUUGAUCAAAAAAAGUGUUUUUUGCGAGUUAGGUUUGCAAACCCGGUCUGUACUUUUAGGGUAAAACCCGGUCUAUUUGAAGAGUGUCGGAUGGGUCUAAUCUCUUGGGGCAGUUUCGUUAGUUUGGGAAGUUUCAGCUUUCAGCCGAGAAGUCUCCCAAGAUGAGGACUUUGAGGAAGCCAUUAAACGGCAAAUUUAAAGCUUGGAGCCUUGAGACAAGAUUUGGGUCUUUGAAUUUUUUUUUUUCAAGACAAAAGAGAGUAAAUUUUUCGACACCCAUCACAGAUCAGAUAAUGAUAUGAGAAUGGAAGAGAUUGUAGAGGAAACCAAUGGAAAACACGAAAAGAUGGUGGAAAUUACUCUCAAAAUCAUUGGCCCUGCUCGCCCUUCUCGCCUUCACGUCCCUUCUUCCCUCAGAGUUCAUGAUUUGAGAAAAUUGAUAGCUGGAAAGAAUCGUUUACCAGUAGAGAAUUUGAAACUAAUCUCACAAGGGAAGGUAUUGCAUGACCGUGAAGAUGAAGAUGAUAUUUACAUACAACUCAAUGAUGGUGAUUCACUCAUUGUUGCUGUCAAACCAAAGGCACCAAGUGGACUCGAUAUUGACGAUGAUGAGGAAGAUUUGAAAUUUCAGCUUCCACAGUCAACAAGUCGGUGGAAAAAGAAGCUUUACUCGUUUUUACUAAAUAGAUUGAAGCUUCCUGAUAUCCUUUUGAUGGCAAUUUUUUCUCUAAGUCUUAAGGCAUGGAUUCUUGUUAUCUUAUGGUUUAUACUGGCACAUGUUGCCCAUAAAUGGGAUCUUGGACCGUUAUAUAUACUUGGAACUGGUUUUUGUACAAUUUUCCUGAACCUUGGACGGCGGCAACCUGGUGAUGUCAGGAACCUCUUGUAGAUUAUCAUAGGACAUAGGGGUUGUUUUGGGGUCUUUGUUUAGUUUCUAAACCCUAUAUAACUGCAUAUUCCAUCUUCAAUGAAGAUUUUAGAGAGCUUCCUGGGACCCUGAAUGCAGAUGCCAUUGAUAGAGAUAUAAGGACAGGUCAGUUUUGAGCCACUAUCCCACCAUGUGGGAUUAUCAAAAUGAUUGAAACAAAAUAGUAAAGACUUCUUUCAAGCAUUGCUUGUCUCCUUAAUAGAAAAUUAGUACUUUCUAUGCUCAUCUUCAUAAAUCGAGGCAUUGGUAAGAACAAUAAUCUAUCUCACAGCAAUACUGAUAGAAUCUAAAUACAGCUCAAAUGUAAAUUAUACUCAAUAGUUGCCAAUGAGUUCUCCAGUUGUGAUGCACACGUGUGGCCCUAUUGAUUGCAUAUUUGUUCCUUCAGAGGGUGCUCAAACAUGGACGAUGCACCCUUGAAAACUACAUGCUACUUUCAAAAAGACAAGUUUCAAAAACAAGAUUCUCUUGAAAUGUAAAUGGUUUGUAUAGUUUCCAGGAAUAAUCUAGUCUACUAGAGUUUGGGAUGUAUAA